UACGUAGGGUGCGAGCGUUAAUCGGAAUUACUGGGCGUAAAGCGUGCGUAGGCGGUUCGUUAAGUUCGUUGUGAAAGCCCCGGGCUCAACCUGGGAAUGGCAAUGGAAACUGGCGGGCUGGAGUAUGGCAGAGGGGGGUGGAAUUCCGCGUGUAGCAGUGAAAUGCGUAGAGAUGCGGAGGAACACCGAUGGCGAAGGCAGCCCCCUGGGCCAAUACUGACGCUCAGGCACGAAAGCGUGGGGAGCAGACAGG
rnacentral:rRNA from 1 species